rnacentral:rRNA from 1 species
AAGGCCUGAGGGUUGUAAAGCGCUUUCGGUGGGGAGGAGGGUUAUUAGGUUAAGAGCUGAAUAACUGGACGUUACCCACAAAAGAAGCACCGGCUAACUCCGUGC